AAGCCGUUAUACGGGCAAUCUCUUACAAGCCUCUUAAACCUCGCCCAUGCGUCAAUGAGCGAUUCGUCAAUAUCCUGUUCAAAAUUGGUGAUCAACUUCCUCUUUCU